rnacentral:tRNA from 1 species
UGAGUGAGUGGUAUAAUUCUCGCCUGCCACGCGGGAGUCCCGGGUUCGAUUCCCGG